GAUGAAGAACGCAGCGAAAUGCGAUAAGUAAUGCGAAUUGCAGAAUUUCCGUGAGUCAUCGAAUCUUUGAACGCACAUUGCGCCCGUCAGUAUUCUGGCGGGCAUGCCUGUUCGAGCGCCAUUACGCCCCUCAAGUCCCCUGUGGACUUGGUGUUGGGGAUCGGCGAGGCUGGUUUUCCAGCACAGCCGUCCCUUAAAUUAAUUGGCGGUCUCGCCGUGGCCCUCCUCUGCGCAGUAGUAAAACACUCGCAACAGGAGCCCGGCGCGGUCCACUGCCGUAAAACCCCCCAACUUUUUAUAGUUGACCUCGAAUCAGGUAGGACUACCCGCUGAACUUAAGCAUAUCAAAAGCGGAGGA
rnacentral:misc_RNA from 1 species